UCUUAAGAGUCUGAUAUCUUCGCUUGAGAAAGGACUGAAUUUCUUUUCUUAUUCGUCAUAUUUACUGUGCUGCAUCCAAUUUAGUACAAGACUGCACAACAUUUAAAAGGGUUUGCAGAUGGAAAGACACAUUGCUUAAAUUUUGCUUAUGAUCAACUCUAGUUUGUACAUUCCUAUGUAUGAAAUGUGGACAAGAUAUUUCAACAUUAUUUGAAACUGACUACAGAAUGAUAUCUCAAAUUGCUCAGAAGUUCCCCCUGCGAGGCACCCAUUUCCUUCCUUGCACAUUGGGAAUAAUGUUAUAAAAAUCAUAAUAUUUUAUAAACAGUUCAAGAUACGGGAAAUGAAAUUUUUGCAAAUGAUAGCACAUGAAAAUCCACAUAUAUUGUACGAUAAAUACUAGAAUUUUUUUAUUUGCUGAAAUAUGGCAAUAACCUGUCCACAGCAGGGAGAAGUCAAUCAGAACAGGGCACGUACACACACCAACAGCGCUUAAACGAAAACCAGGAACCACGUUUAAAUACAUCCUUGGCUGAGCAGCAGCAGAGCAUGACAUGUUAACUCAUCUGGAGCAGUCAGUCAAAGGAUUAAAGAUCGCAGCUACAAAUAUUUUCAGGUUUCAUACACAAUAAUCACUUGUUAAAACGGUGGUUUGUGAAUGUUUGACAGUAGUAUUUUAAGCUCUUUUUUAUAACCUCAUCCAUAAGUAGUUGUGGUCUUCAGUUCAGAAAUUGGUUUGAUGUCACACUCUAUGCUACCCUACCCUGUGCAAGCCUCAUCUCCCAGUACCUACAGCAACCUACAUCCUUCUGAAUCUGCUUACUGCAUUUAUCUCUUGGUCUCAAUCUAUGAUUUUUACCCUCCACGCUUCCCUCCAAUACUAAAUUGUGAUCCCUUGAUGCCUCAGAACAUGUCCUACCAACUGAUCCCUUCUUUUAGUCAGGUUGUGCCACAAAGUCCUCUUCUCCCUAAUUCUAUUCAGUACCUCCUCAUUAGUUAGUUGAUCUACCCAUCUAAUCUUUGGCAUUCUUCUGUAGCACCAUAUGUCUAAAGCUUCUAUUCUCUGAUUUCUAUUUAUCGUCCAUGUUUCACUUCCAUACAUGGCUACACUCCAUACAAAUACAUUCAGGAAAGACUUACUGACACUUAAAUCUAUACCUGAUGUUACCAAAUUUCUUUUCUUUAACAACACUUUCCUUGCCAUUGCCAGUCUACAUUUUAUAUCCUCUCUACUUCGACCAUCAUCAGUUAUUUUGCUCCCCAAAUAGCAAAACUCCUUUACUACUUUAAGUGUCAUGUACUAAUCUAAUUCCCUCAGCAUCAUCCGACUUAAUUCGACUACAUUCCAUUACCGUGGUUUUGCUUUUGUUGAUGUUCAUCUUGUAUCCUCCUUUCAAGACACUGUCCAUUCCGUUCAGCUGCUCUUCCAGAUCCUUUGCUGUUUGACAUAAUUACAAUGUCAUCGGCAAACCACAAAGUUUUUAUUUCUUCUCCAUGGAUUUUAAUUCCUACUCAGAAUUUAUCUUUUGUUUCCUUUACUGCUUGCUCAAUAUACAGAUUGAAUAACAUUUGGAGAUAGGCUACAGCCCUGUCUCACGCCCUUCCCAACCACUGCUUCACUUUCAUGCCCCUCGACUCCUAACUGCCAUCUGGUUUCUGUACAAAUUGUAAACAGUGUUUUGCUCCCUGUAUUUUACCCCUGCCACCUUUAGAAUUUGAAAGAGUAUUCCAGUCAACAUUGUCAAAAGCUUUCUCUAAGACUACAAAUGCUAGAAACAGGUUUGCCUUUCCUUAAUCUAUCUUCUAAGGUAAGUCAUAGGAUCAGUAUUGCCUCACAUGUUCCAACAUUUCUACGGAAUCCAAACUGAUCUUCCCCAAGGUCAGCUUCUACCAGUUUUUCCAUUCAUCUGUAAAGAAUUCAUGCUAGUAUUUUGCAGCUGUGACUUAUUAAACUGAUAGUUCCAUAAUUUUCACACCUGUCAACACCUGCUUUCUUUGGGAUUGGAAUUAUAUUAUUCUUGAAGUCUGAGGGUAUUUUGGCAGUCUUGUGCAUAUUGCUCACCAGAUGGUACAGUUUUGUCAAGGCUGGCUCUCCCAAGACUAUAAGUAGUUCUAAUGCAAUGUUGUCUACUCCCAGGGUCUUGUUUCGGCUUAGGUCUUUCAGUGCUCUGUCAAAUUCUUCACUCAGUAUCGUAUAUCCCAUUUCAGCUUCAUCUACAUCCUCCAUUUCCACAAUAUUGUCUUCAAUUGCAUUGCCCUCAUACAGACCCUCUAUAUACUCCUUGCACCUUUCUGCUCUCCCUUCUUUACUUAGGACUGGUUUUCCAUCUGCAUUCUUGAUAUUCAUACAGGUGAUUCUCUUUUCUGCAAAGGUCUCUAAUUUUCCUGUAGGCAGUAUAUCUUACCCCUAGUGAGAGAUGCCUCGACAUCCUUACACUUGUCCUCUAGCAAUCCUUGCUUAGCCAUUUUGCACUUCCUGUCACUCAUUUCUGAGACAUUUGUAUUCCUUUUCGCCUGCUUUGAUUACUGCAUUUUUGUAUUGCAUAUUUCAUCAAUUAAAUUCAGUAUCUCUUCUGUUACCCAAGGAUUUCUACUAGCCCCACGUCUUUUAACCUACUUGAUCCUCUGCUGCCUUUAUUAUUUCAUCUAUCAAAGCUACCCAUUUUCGUUCUACUGUAUUGCUUUCUCUUGUAUUUGUCAAUUGUUCCCUAAUGCUCUCUCUGAAACUCAUUACAACCUCCGGUUCUUUCAGUUUAUCCAGGUCCCAUCUCCUUGAAUUCCAACCUUUUUGCAGUUUCUUCAAUUUUAAUCUACAAUUCAUAACCAAUAAACUGUGGUCAGAAUCCGCACCUGCCCCUUGGGAAUGUCUUACAAUUAAAACCUGUUUCCUAAAUCUCUGUCUUACCAUUAUAUAAUCUAUUUGAAAUCUUCCCGUGUCUCGGGGCCUCUUUCUUGUAUACAGCCUUCUUUUCACAGUUCUUAAACCAAGUGUUCACUAUGAUUAAGUUAUACUCUGUGCAAAAUUCUCCUCAAACAGCUUCCUCUUUCAUUUCUUACCCUCAUUCCACAUUCACCUACUUUUCCUUCUUUUCCUUUGCCUACUAUCGAAUUCCAGUCCCCCAUGACUUAAAAUUUUCAUCUCCCUUAACUAUCUGAAUAAUUUCUUUUAUCUCAUCAUACAUUUCUUCAAUCUCUUCACCUGCAGAACUAGUUGGCAUAUAACCUUACAGUGGUAGGUGCGGUCUUCUGUCUAUUUUGGCUACAAUAAUGCUGUCAUUAUGCUGUUCGUAGUAGCUCCUAUUUUUAAUUCAUUAUUAAAACUACUACUACAUUACCCCUAUCUGAUUUUGUAUUUAUAAACCUGUAUUCACCUGACCAGAAGUCCUGUUUCUCCUGCCAUUGAAGUUCACUAAUUCCAAUUAUAUUUAAUUUUAACCUAUUCAUUUCCCUGAUCUGUAGAACACCAGUUUUCUUUCUCCUGAGAACGACAUCGCCCUGAGUAGUCCCCGCCUGGAGAUCCAAGUAAGGACUGUUUCACUUCCAGAAUAUUUUACCCAAGAGGACACCAUCGUUUAACCGUACAGUAAAGAUGCAUACCCUCAGGAAAAAUUACGGCUGUAGCUUCCUCUUGCUUUCAGCUGUAUGCAGUACCAGCACAGCAAGGCCGUUUUGGUUAAUGUUAGAAGGCCAGAUUGGCCAGUUGUCCAAACUGUUGCCUCUGCAGCUACUGAAAAGGCCUCUGCCCCUCUUCUGGAACCAUACAUUUGUCUGGCCUCUCAGAUACCCCUCCAUUGUAGUUGCACCUAUGGUACAGUUAUCUGUAUCGCUGAGACACGCGAGCUUCCCCACCAAUGGCAAGGUCCAUGGUUCAUGAUGGAGGGGGCGGGAGGUACAUAAAUACUUCACAUCAGGUUCAAGUACAAAUUAAGUGCUGUAUUAAUAACAGGCAACUUGUCUGCAGAACACAAAAGGCACACCACAUAGCUUUUUAGUUUAAAGAUUAUUGCAGCCACAACACAACUGAAAAAUCCUUACCACUUAUUUUCCUCCAACACACACCUUGAACCAUCAGUAAUUUGGCCAAAACUGAUGUUUGGGGGUCACAAAUUCGUUUUACCUGACGUAUUAAUGUGUAUCUGCUUUCCAUGUGUAUCUUUUGACUAAUUAUACUUCCUGUAAUUUAGUAAUGUGAAUGCUCGGAUAAAUUAUGUUCAGGAAC